rnacentral:rRNA from 1 species
UACGGAGGGUGCAAGCGUUAAUCGGAAUUACUGGGCGUAAAGCGCGCGCAGGCGGUCAAUUAAGUCAGAUGUGAAAGCCCCGGGCUAAACUUGGGAAUUGCAUCUGAAACUGGUUGGCUAGAGUCUGGUAGAGGGGGGUAGAAUUCCAAGUGUAGCGGUGAAAUGCGUAGAGAUGUGGAGGAACACCGGUGGCGAAGGCGGCCCCCUGGGC